ensembl:processed_transcript
UUAUGUAGGAUGUUGACUUCGAAAUCAUGGAGUUUUGCCCUUGCACAUUCUCAGAUCUCGGUGAGUAUUAUUUACACCGUAUUCUGCUUAACUUCUGGUAGCAAUGAUGACUUAAUCUUUUUUCCCCAGCAGAUCGACUCUGUUGACUUGUGAAACGAAAAUAAGCCAAAUUAUCUGAGCAAACUGAUGGCUAUAAUAAAGCCAUUGUUUGUUUUAAAUAACAAAUUGACCAUUUGUUAACAUUUCCUUCACAGGUCAUACUCCAACCAAACAGAUGACCCCCACGUUUAAAAUGGUGCAAUAAUAACCCCAUCAUACUCUGAAGCAGAUCCCUCCCCAACCAAAUGGAUAUUCCUGCAUUUGAAAGGAUUUGAGAACCCCAUCGUACUCUGAAGCAGAUCAUACUUCAAUCAAAUGGAUGGUCCUGAAUUUAGAAGGAUUCAAUAACCCCAUUAUACUCUGAAGCAGGCCAAGACCCAAUUCAAGAUGAUCAGGGGAGUUUUACAUGCCACCCAACAUGUUAAUGCCACACCUUCAGAGAGAAGCAGGUGGUCCAGUGUCUGGAGAAGAGAAUUUGGGUGGAAUGUUACAAAUUCUGCUUGGUGUUGCAGAUUAGUUCUAUUAAUAAACCCUGG